rnacentral:rRNA from 1 species
AUUUGACUCAACACGGGAAAUCUUACCGGGUCCGGACGUAUCGAGGAUUGACAGAUAGUUAUACAUGCCCUACAAGCAAGUAGGAGUCAGGUUUUAAACCUAAUGGCUCUUUCAUGAUUAUAUGAUAGGUGGUGCAUGGCCGUUCUUAGUUCGUGGAGUGAUCUGUCUGCUUAAUUGCGUUUCAAAUUUUUAACCGAGGACCGGGUUUUGGUUUGGCUAGUGGUCCUACGAUGACUGUGAACUGUCAUGUCUUCGGAUGUACGACUAUCGGUCUAGGAUCACAUGACUUGCCCCUGGGACUCUUUUGAACGCAACGGACGUGAUUGCAACCCCUUGUUGAGAUUAGAGAUAGUCUCGAUAUUCACUGGCCAAACUGGCUGCUUUAUGCAGUCUUGUUGAAUGGUGGAUAAACUCGGGGGACUGCUGACUAUAACCAUUUCUCAAAACAGAGGAAGGUUGCGGCAAUAACAGGUCUGUGAUGC